AGACACACAGGGUGGUUAAGAACAACAAACACAGGUAACAUCUGCUGAAGGCUUCUACAAGCUGAGCACUAACAGUAUUUCAAACUCAUGAAACUCUAACUUUGGGAAUGUGUAUGUGUUGUUGAAGGAGUCCUCAUGAAACUAGCGUGGACAACACUAGAUUGACCACUGGCUACCAACCGGCGUAGGAAUUCAACCUACAUGAAGACUCAGAGUCAGGACCCACCCUGCACCCCCAAACUGUUGCGCUUUCCCAGAGCCCCUGCCGUGCCGUCCUUCCCUGACUUUCUAGUUCCCACCCCUGACCAGCUCUUGGGCUCUCUGCACUGAGCUCUCUGCCCUGCAACUUUAGUACAUGGGAUACAAGCUUCAUCAGCUCCCUGGCCCUUGUUCAGAACAGCUGCUCGCCGUGAAGUGGACAUGCAUGUGCUAGAACAUCUUUCCUUGUACUGAGGAAUGAUAAAGCGCUGGAUGAUGCCCAUCCUGCUUACUGUCUCUGGGGACAAAUUGGGAACAUACAAGGUGCCAAUCCCAGAUGAAAUGGCAUGAUGCUAGCGUCUGUGUCUUGGGGGCUCUGAAUACUCCAGGUCUGGUUCUGCCCCUGAGGACUGAGGAGAUCAAUAUCUCCACUCAGAAUGUCCUAGUAGUAAAACUAGUAGUAAAGCUCUGGGCCAGGGUUUCUCAAACUUCAGUGUGUGUCAGGAUCCCUGUUAAGGCUUGUUGAAAUAGAUUGCUGGGCCCCAUCCCCACUUUCUAAUGGGUAGGCCUGGGGUGCUGCUUAAGAAUCUGCAUUUGUGAGAAGUGUCCAGGAGAUGUUGAUGCCACUGGUGGGGAAGAAUACUUUGACAGCGACUGCUACAGAAUAUAGCAUUUCUAAUAGGAUUCAAUGAAAAUUUCCACUUUCCUUUGAUACAUUUCUAAAAUCAAUCUUUUCGAACCUGUAUCCCAAGAAAAUGUGGUGCAUAUACACCAUGGGAUACUACAUAGUCAU
rnacentral:lncRNA from 10 species